rnacentral:rRNA from 1 species
GACGAACGCUGGCGGCGGGCUUAACACAUGCAAGUCGAACGGAAAGGCCCUGCUUUUGUGGGGUGCUCGAGUGGCGAACGGGUGAGUAACACGUGAGUAACCUGCCCUUGACUUUGGGAUAACUUCAGGAAACUGGGGCUAAUACCGGAUAGGAGCUCCUGCUGCAUGGUGGGGGUUGGAAAGUUUCGGCGGUUGGGGAUGGACUCGCGGCUUAUCAGCUUGUUGGUGGGGUAGUGGCUUACCAAGGCUUUGACGGGUAGCCGGCCUGAGAGGGUGACCGGCCACAUUGGGACUGAGAUACGGACCAGACUCCUACGAGAGGCAGCAGUGGGGAAUAUUGCACAAUGGGCGGAAGCGUGAUGCAGCAACGCCGCGUGCGGGAUGACGGCCUUCGGGUUGUAAACCGCUUUCGCCUGUGACGAAGCGUGAGUGACGGUAAUGGGUAAAGAAGCACCGGCUAACUACGUG